rnacentral:misc_RNA from 1 species
GAUGAAGAACGUAGCGAAAUGCGAUAAGUAGUGUGAAUUGCAGAUUCAGUGAAUCAUCGAAUCUUUGAACGCACAUUGCGCCCCUUGGUAUCCCGAGGGGCAUGCCUGUUCGAGCGUCAUUUCACCACUCAAGCCUGGCUUGGUGUUGGGCGACGUCCUCUUUAGGGACGCGCCUCGAAACGCUCGGCGGCGUGGCACCGGCUUUAAGCGUAGCAGAAUCUUUCGCUUUGGAAGUCGGGGCCCCGUCUGCCGGAAGACCUGCUCGCAAGGUUGACCUCGGAUCAGGCAGGGAUACCCGCUGAACUUAAGCAUAUCAAUAAGCGGAGGA